rnacentral:RNase_P_RNA from 1 species
AGGUGGCCGGAUAAUCGCGAGUGUUUUUACAUUUGAGGAAAGUCCGGGCUUCACAGAAACACGAUACCGGAUAACGUCCGGGCGGGGUGACCCGACGGAAAGUGUCACAGAAAACAAACCACCAUGGCAUGCCAUGGAACGGGUGAAACGGCGGGGUAAAAGCCCACCGCGCUUUUGGAAACAAAGGUGGCAGGACAAACCCUAUCGGAAGCAAGACUAAAAAAGAUGCUGGGAAUUUUCCCAAAAGACAGUUGUUUCUGUCUGUGCAUCAAGAGGUAAGUCGCUAGAGGCGGCCAGUAAUGCCCGUCCCAGACGAAUGAUUAUCCCCGACAAAACCCGGCUUACAGGCCGCCUGA